rnacentral:lncRNA from 1 species
UGUAUGCAAUUUGCGGAAUAGGCAAUAUAUGUAAUAAAGAAGAAUAGAUUUUAAUAGAAAAUGUAUGUAAUAGACAAUCAAUUCCAGUAAUAGACAAUGUAUGAAAGAAGAACCUGGAGUGGAGGCUGAAAGAGAUUCACCGCUAGCAAGACGACGACAAUGUGAAAAAGAUUUCUGCAACACUACUGAUAUUGUGAGAGAAAUUUAGGUCUUUUACUCAUUUGUAGUUUUUUAAUGGAUAUUAUUAUUGAG